rnacentral:rRNA from 12 species
UCUAGCUAACCAUCCUGUGAGUGCCCGAUACCAUCAGAUCUCAGAAGAUAAACAGGGAUGGGCCUGGUUAGUAUUUGGAUGGAAGAUGGCUCUGGAAGACCAGGGGUCACUAGAC